rnacentral:rRNA from 1 species
AACGAACGCUGGCGGCGCGCCUAACACAUGCAAGUCGAACGAGAAGGCGUAGCAAUACGCUUGUAGAGUGGCGAACGGGUGAGUAAUACGUGGGUGACCUACCCUCGAGUGGGGAAUAACCCGCCGAAAGGCGGGCUAAUGCCGCGUACGCUUCCGUCCUCACGGGGACGGAAGGAAAGCUGUACCGUGGGUACGGCGCUCAAGGAUGGGCUCACGUCCUAUCAGCUUGUUGGUAGGGUAACGGCCUACCAAGGCUACGACGGGUAGCUGGUCUGAGAGGACGAUCAGCCACACUGGCACUGCGACACGGGCCAGACUCCUACGGGAGGCAGCAGUGAGGAAUAUUGCGCAAUGGGCGAAAGCCUGACGCAGCGACGCCGCGUGGGGGAUGAAGGUCUUCGGAUUGUAAACCCCUUUUCGGGAGGGAAGAUGGGACGGGCAACCGUUCGGACGUACCUCCAGAAGCAGCCACGGCUAACUUCGUGCCAGCCGCCGCCGUAAC